rnacentral:lncRNA from 1 species
CUGGGACUGGGCAGAGGCAGUGGGGUGUGGCAGAAAGAGCAGUCUGGGGUCCAGGGGGCCCAGACAGAGAGCACAGAGGGGAGGAAACACUGCUGGAGUUGGGCCCUGGCACUGGGGCCAGAAGACAGCAAGUGUGUACAGGCCAGGUGACGAUGGGGACAGUGCGAGGGAUUAUCCUGGGACCUAGAAGUGUGAGGACUGAGAGGCUCUGAAGGCCCUACCUGCACAGGUUACCAAGCCCCUGGUACUGAGCAGCGUGGCCACAUCGGCUGUGGGGCUGGGGGUCUGGCACAUUUGUUAUUGGAUUCCCACUUAGAGAUGAGAACACUGAGGCUCAGAGAGGGUUUGUGUAAGCGGUUUGUGUAAGGUUACAGAGUAGGACGGUGACACAGCUGGAGUAGGGCCGAACCCUUUAUAGCCUGUGCUGGGCAUGGAGAGGAGGUGCGGUCGGGCAUGAGCACCUGCGGGCAUGGCAGUGACUCUGGGGAGGAAGACAGGGGCAGGGAUUUUCACCCAGAGCACAAUGUUCUUAGUCCCUAGAGUGGAUCAGCUGCUAUUCUGUCAGAGUCACCGAAGGCUGCCAGCCUAAGUCGACUUCUCAUGGUCAGACUUUAGGUGUGUGCGUCUAUGUGGUUAUUUUCAGGCCCAGAUUUCCUGAUUGUCACAGUUCCCCACUAGGCAGACUCCAGCCAGGGACAGCCAAGGAGGAGGAGGAGAAUACCUUCCUUUCACUGGGAGUCCCAGGGAGCAGUAGGGUGGACCCCGAGUUAGCACCUCCUGCAGGAUAAUGCCAGUGCUGAAGAUGUCCCCUGUGAGGGUGCCCCGCCCAGGGCGCCCAGACCGUCACAGCAGCUCUGCAGUCUCAGGGCAGAGCCACACCACCAUCACCCACUGACCUUCAAGCCAGGCCAGGAGCAUCUAUUCUCCUUGAUUCACCGGUAAAGAACCUACAGCUCGUUCAGAAUGGAAAAGUGGUCAACUCAAGGUCACAAAUGCCGAGGACUGGCGAUCACCCUCUCCCUGCACCUUACAAGCACCUGGCUAAACAGAGGCCCCCGAACCUACUGGCAGCCUCCCACCCAUCCCUAAGCUGGUCUUCCAGGCUGGCCAGGGUUGGGGAGCCUGCUGAGUGUCCAGGAGCUCUGCAUAACCAUGGCUGAGGGUCUCCUUGCUGGAACCUAAAGACCCCUCAUCACACAGACUUCGGAGCCUGGAGCCCUGGCCUCCACUGAGCCUCUGGGGGGCUGUACUGUCGGGGCCACAAGC